GCUGGGCAUGGUGACCCAUGCUUGUAAUCCCAGCAGCUUGGGAGGCUGAGGCAGGAGGAUUGUGAGUUUAAAGCCAGCCUAGCAAGGCACUUAGUGAAACUGAAGUGGCACCUCCUUUCUCCU
rnacentral:sRNA from 1 species